GCACGCUGCUGCGCCUAGAAGGGUAUCCGGCCAAGUAGAGAGCUAAACCGACCGAACAUGAACUCAGCUAAAGUAAAAAAGAAAAGGAGGAACGUUUAUCCUCAUACCCCUACAGAUAAGAAAAGAGGGACACGAGAUACAUUUAUUGCUGUGCUAGGUAGGAAGAGACACAGGAGGAGCAACUGCAGAGAAAGGAGGUUCUGUUAAUUUUGGAACCAAAAUGACAACACUUUACAGCUGAUUUUGAAGGACCGCACUUUAUCCCAUCCCAUCCUUGUGCUUCCCUUAUUCUUGGUGCUAUUAUUAUAACUUGGAUAAAAAUUGGUCUUUUCGUUUUUCUCAUAUAUACUGAACGUGAAAUUAAUAGGGUGAUGGAUUGAAAUGAUGAUUCUGAAAUUAACUUUACGUUUUUUGAAUUGA